rnacentral:rRNA from 1 species
CCUACGGGUGGCAGCAGUGAGGAAUAUUGGUCAAUGGCCGGAAGGCUGAACCAGCCAUGCCGCGUGAAGGUCAGUGCCCUAUGGGCGUUAAACUUCUUUUGUGCGGGAGUAAUAAUGGUCACGUGUGGCCCGACUAGAGUACCGUACGAAUAAGCAUCGGCUAACUCCGUUCCAGCAGCCGCGGUAAUACGGGGGCUGCCAGCGUUAUCCGGAUUUAUUGGGUUUAAAGGGUGCGGCGGCUGUGAGGUAAGUCAGCGGGGAAAUGCCCCCGCUCAACGGGGUGAAGUGCCAUUGAUACUGGCUGGCUGGAAUGCGGAUGCCGUGGGAGGAAUGUGUGGUGUAGCGGUGAAAUGCAUAGAGAUCACACAGAACACCGAUUGCGAAGGCAUCUCACGAAUCCGCGAUUGACGCUGAUGCACGAAAGCGUGGGUAUCAAACAGGAUUAGAUACCCGGGUAGUC